AGCAGCCGCGGUAAUUCCAGCUCCAAUAGCGUAUAUUAAAGUUGUUGCAGUUAAAAGCUCGUAGUUGAAUUUCGGGGUUAGUAGGUUGGUCAUGCCUCUGGUAUGUACUGGUCUCACUGAUUCCUCCUUCCUGAUGAACCUUAAUGCCAUUAAUUUGGUGUUUUGGGGAAUUUGGACUGUUACUUUGAAAAAAUUAGAGUGUUUAAAGCAAGCUAACGCUUGAAUACAUUAGCAUGGAAUAAUAAAAUAGGACGUUCGAUCCUAUUUUGUUGGUUUCUAGGAUUGACGUAAUGAUUAAUAGGGAUAGUUGGGGGCAUUAGUAUUCAAUUGUCAGAGGUGAAAUUCUUGGAUUUAUUGAAGACUAACUACUGCGAAAGCAUUUGCCAAGGAUGUUUUCAUUAAUCAAGAACGAAAGUUAGGGGAUCGAAGACGAUCAGAUACCGUCGUAGUCUUAACCAUAAACUAUGCCGACUAGGGAUCGGAUGAUGUUAAUUUUUUAAUGACUCAUUCGGCGCCUUAC
rnacentral:rRNA from 1 species